UACGUAGGGUCCGAGCGUUGUCCGGAAUUAUUGGGCGUAAAGAGCUCGUAGGCGGCUGUUCAAGUCGAACGUGAAAACUCGGAGCUCAACUCCGAGCCUGCGUUCGAUACUGGACGGCUAGAGUCUGGUAGGGGGAUCUGGAAUUCCUGGUGUAGCGGUGGAAUGCGCAGAGUAUCAGGAGGAACACCGAUGGCGAAGGCAGUUCUCUGGGCCGUAACUGACGCUGAGGAGCGAAAGCGUGGGGAGCGAACAGGG
rnacentral:rRNA from 1 species